rnacentral:lncRNA from 1 species
AGCAACCAACCUCCAGGGAGGGGAAAGGGGGCAGAAGUUUGAGUUAAUAACUAAUAGCUAAAGAUGUAAACAAUAAGCCUCCAUAAAACCCCAAAAGGACUGGACUGGUUUCUGAGAGCUUCCAGGUUGUUGAGCACGUGGAGGUUCUGGGAGGGUCCACACCCAGAGAAGGCAUGGAAGCUGACCCCUUCCCCAUACCUUGCUCUUUGCAUCUCUUCCAUUUGGCUGUUCCCGAGUUGUAUACUUUGUAAUAAGUGGGAUUUCCACCCAACAACAAUUCAGCCACACUGCUUCACACAUCUAGAAUCCAUCCAAAAUUGUAAAGGCUUUGUGGCACUACAGUGAAACAGGCAAGAACAUCUUCCAAACAUCCAGCACAAGAGCACACAGGAGGCCGGCAUAAUCACGAAUUGCAGCUGUCUGAAGGGCAGUCACAUAAAAGAGGAGAAGCUUCACCUUUGCUUCACAAGGCACAUCUUGAACCAGGGAUGGAAAUUACAGAGAGGCCAAAACCAGCUCGGUGUGAGCAGGACUGGUAACAGACUGGCCAAGCAACAGAAGGGGCUGCCCUGUGAAGAAGCAAGCUCUCUGUCAAUGGGAGGUGCAAGCUGAGCCUGCACUACCUUUUGUCACGGUUGCUAUGGAAAAGAUUAAGAGCCCGGGCCUGGCUGUUCCCACCUCAAACCACUUCUUAGCUUCAUUUGUUCUCAUAACAACAGGAUAGCCCUUCCUCCUCUGGGGGCCUGGGCAUCAGCAAGUCGGAUGGCAGUGGAAGGUGGAGAAAUGGAAUCCUGCUGGGGGCUCAGGAGGCCUGCCCCCUGAUGCUGCCGUGCACUGCAGAUGUCCUUGAUGAAGAGAAUGAAUGGAAGUUUAAAUGAUGAAACUCUGGGGAUCAGCGUAAAGUAAACCAACAUACUGCAUGUAAGUAUCAAGUAAAUGAGCAGAGACAGCCCCUGGUUUACAAACACCUGACUUAAGCAUCGUCCAUCCUACAGGACAGGGAAGGAGGAAGAAGCUUCGAGAGGCUGGAACAGUUGAGGGAGCGCUGACACGGUAAAGGCCACUUUGCUCAUCAUCACCAGGCGUGCUGCCGAAAAUUUCCACUCUGUUUACUCCCAAGACCUUACUCCUACUAUGUGGAGACACAUUUGAAUAAAAAAUUGGCCUCUUUUCAAAGUCAAAAUUCUG